GGGAAUCUUCCACAAUGGACGCAAGUCUGAUGGAGUAACGCCGCGUGAGUGAAGAAGGUUUUCGGAUCGUAAAGCUCUGUUGUUGGUGAAGAAGGAUAGAGGUAGUAACUGGCCUUUAUUUGACGGUAAUCAACCAGAAAGUCACGGCUAACUACGUGCCAGCAGCCGCGGUAAUACGUAGGUGGCAAGCGUUGUCCGGAUUUAUUGGGCGUAAAGCGAGCGCAGGCGGAAGAAUAAGUCUGAUGUGAAAGCCCUCGGCUUAACCGAGGAAUUGCAUCGGAAACUGUUUUCUUGAGUGCAGAAGAGGAGAGUGGAACUCCAUGUGUAGCGGUGGAAUGCGUAGAUAUAUGGAAGAACACCAGUGGCGAAGGCGGCUCUCUGGUCUGCAACUGACGCUGAGGCUCGAAAGCAUGGGUAGCGAACAGGAUUAGAUACCCUGGUA
rnacentral:rRNA from 1 species